rnacentral:tRNA from 1 species
GCCAUUUUGGCUCAGUGGAUAGAGUGUCAGCCCAUGGGCUGAAGGGUCCCGGGUUCGAUUCCGGCCAAGGGCA